CACUGUACCACAAAUCCACUUUGCAGUCAUCAACAUAAAACUAGCAAAAAUAUGCUGUAUUUGUCAAAAUAAAAAAGUAAAACAACUUUCAUUACACAAUUUUCGUUCAAAUAAAAAUAAAACACAAAAAAUUCGUCCGUUAAAAUACUUUUGAAAAAGCAGCCUCAACACAACUGAAGAUGUGCGAACCUUGCGGUUUUUCCGUUGCUCCUUGUGGCCCAUACGGACCCAUAGGACCUUAUGGACCGAUUACCGCUUGUGGAGCGCAUGGUUUUUGUGGACCGCCUUGCAUACCGGAUUCAUCACCGAACCCGCCCUGCUGUCCGUCACCAUGUCCAGUAGGCUGUUGUCCACCACCAUGUGAUCCCUGCUCCAACUGUUGUCCAAAUCCAUGCUGCCUCUAAAAUGGAUUGAAUGUUGGAGUCUGUUGAAUUGCAAUAUUUAAAGGAGUUUCACGCAUGCUUUAGUUGUAUUGGCGCAAAAAAACAAAUUUGUCCAAAGACCGUUUAUGUUGAGCGAAACGUCGAGUUGUGUGUCUUCAGUUGUACAUGGAUCUUUGUACAUACUGAAUUCAUCAAGUGAACGCACGCUUAAGCCCUUUGUGUUAGACAGUGCAUGUAAAAAUUAAUCAACGCGUCUUAUUAGAAAUGGUAACCAAUUGUUUCGUUUACAGUAAUAAAAUUCUUGCAAUAGCAAUGUACAAAACCCCAAAAUCGAUAUUUUAUUGGGUAAGAUUGGGGGUAUCGAAAGUUUGAAAGAAACUAUGUGUAUCUUAAAGGGUCUAUCGACGUUGCUGGUAAAAGUAUUUAUCACUCAAAAGAGUUUUUUUAAUUGUAAGCUAGAUACUCCUACAGAAAAGUCCAAAUAGAAGUAGACUCCGACAUAUCCAUAGUCAAGUGACCACUGAUAUAAUACUGAAAACUAAUCUAGACAUGGCUGCUAGAACUACACUAAGCCCAAUAAUGGCUAGGACCGACAAAUGGCUUCGAGCGGCAUUACUUCUAAAGAGAGAUUUAUAUCCCGUACUAACUGAAUAAUAGAACGGAAAUGAAGGAAUCUGUAUGAGAUCUCAUCAAUUAAUAACGAUAAUGGAUCCCCUUGAUGACUUUUUCUUGACUAGUGAUUCGACAGAGGAAGACCUCCUUUAUAUAUUAUUAUCGAAAUAUUUGGUCCUAAAUCGGAAUAUAUUUUAGGCUACAAAUCUCUGUCUCCUGAUUACAACGUCCAAAAGAAUGGGACAAAUGAAAUGAAUGUUCGGAAAUCUCAACACAAACACUCUCAUGAAACCAAAGUAGAACAUCCAACAAAUGUGAAUCCAUGAGAGAACUAUUGAAACAGCAAGUCGUGGUCUAGUUCCGAAAUUUUGGUUAUGAAUACAAUAUAAAAGCGCAAUGCUGAAAUCUGCAUCUCUAUCCCUUUGUUAAUGUUAGACGACCACUUCAUAAGUCUCGUCGAAAUACUGUCGCUCAAAGUAUUACUUCGACCUCUUUUAUGCCCAGUUUACAUAGAAUUUGUUGUCAAUACAAUUUUUUUCAUAUCAUUCAUUGAUAUUUUGGCCUAACAAGAACAUUGAAAAUUUAAAAGUAGUCUUUCAAAAAUCCUCUUCCAUUUGGAAAACGCUCUACCCAGGAUGUGCGAUCGCUGUUCAAACAAUAAAAAUGGCUCUACUACUUCCUCUUGCCAGGAUAGCUAUUGUAGUACAUGUUGUCCUAAUGGUAUUUGCAGCCGUACGCGCACAUCACAAAAUCCAAAACCAGAUCCAACGGCCUGGACCGGGCCGAGCCAGUCGUUUAGCCGUGAAUCGCAUCCAAAUUGGGUACAACAACAACGUUGGGCGUGACUAACAAAGCGACUGAGGCAGUCACAAAAAUUAUACGAGAUCGAAAAGCAAAAACCAACAAAACUCUUAGUAUUGGAAUCGGAAUGUAGUCUACCAAAAAUCUCUGCGAAGGUGAUCAUAUCGCCGGAAAGUGAACCACCACCAAGAGUGAUGAUUAUGCCGACCGAUUCCAAGGAGUCCUUAAUCUUCCGACAGGAUUCCACUGAGGAUUUGCGAAAACCAACAAAACUUAUGAUUAUUCCAUCUAGAGUUUUGGAUACGAGUAAAACCCUUAAGUAUGAUGUAAUUAAAAUGAGGGUUUACUAAUCUCCACGAACAACGGGCUUACACUCGUCAUUGUAGGCAUCUAGAUGAUAGUACAAAAGUAGCGCUGGGCUUUACAAGAUCUAUAGCAAGGAGAUUUCCAACGCUUAUGUGCAAGUGGAAAGUACAUUUUCUAUUAUCUAGUGAAUUAGCCGAUGCAGUGCGUAUGGAUCCCGCCAGAUUCUAUAGGCCACAUCUUACAUCUGCUGUUCGCUUUGAUGAUCGAAAUAGGGUUAAGCCGAAGCCUCCACCACGCCCGCAAAGAAAUCCAAUGCUAAUGACGAGCUGUCUACCGCGCUGUCCACUCCGGAACGGUUUACAAAAGAUUGUUAACGAUUUUAAGUUGGUUUAUAAUAAUCCUGCUUGAACAAAUAAAACUCGUACCUCAGCCAUACAGGAAGAAUUCUAUGUAGUUUUUUUAUGUUGGGACUAAUUGGGUUGGAGAUUUCAAUUAUGUUAGAGCGGAUUUACCGUUUUUUUUGUAUGAGAUGUAUGUUUGGAAACAUGAGUAUAUUGCUUUUCGCAGCAUUUCGAGAAUAUUCGCUAAGAAAUGUACUUUCUUACACGGCCAGCAAACUUGCAAACCAAUAUUCAAUAUUAUGACUAUUAACUUUCCAAGUUGUCCAAACCCAAAGCUCGAACGUCUGGUGAGUUCAUAAAAAUAUAAAACUUACUCUAUCCUCGGUCUCUCUGAACCCUUUGUUGUUCUAUCAAACUCGUUUCAAAUAUUACUCUAAGCUCCGUGCCCAAAAGCGGCUAUAGAGACUAGGGUCAGAAAAUAACCAGAAAACGGUUAAUUUUUGAGAAUGAGAGUGAUUAUGGAGAUGAGUUCUCUUCUUUGGGACUCCACCUCUCACCAUUAGAAAGUUCUCCCUUAAAUGCUGGAUUAAGAGCAGUGACCACUUGUUCUAAUUUUAAUCCCAAGUGCUCAAUGAGAAAUAUUUUAUUUGUAUUUGUGUUUUGUAGAAAAAAUCACUCAAAUCAUUCAAAAACUUUUCGGCUUUUAGUAAACAACAAAAUUACACGAUAUUUUCGAUUAUCAUCUUCAAACUAACAGCCUACUUGGACAAAACUACUCAAAAUGUCUUUUCCCUGUUGCGGUUGCUGCGGCUCCUAUGGUUGCCCGACUGGCCCUUGUGGCCCCUGCGGUCCGUGUGGACCUUGUCGACCAGGCGGACCAUGCCAACCCUGUGGACCAUGUGGUCCAUGCAGCCCUUGCGGACCAUGUGGUCCCUGCGGCCCUUGUGGAUCUUGUUGCGGACCGUCGCGUUGCGGCCCAUGCGGUCCUUGUGGUCCCUGCUGUAGCCCUUGCGGUCCUUGUAUAACGCGCGGUCCAUGCGGCCCUUGUGGUACGUGUGGACCUUGCUGUAGUCCAUAUCCGCGCUGCUGCGCGUUCGGCUGCCCGUGUUCAAAAUGCCCAAACCCAUGUCGGUAUCUGAAGCCGAAGUACUAAGAUAACGCGCAUACUGGGUGUCGGUGGUGUACAAAACUUUGGACUGUAUGUACAGCGGGGUUGUUGAGGUAUGAUACAGGAGAAAUAGAGAGAAACUUGAGUUGGAAAUUGAAUUUCAAAUGCAACAAGCGCUGAAAAAAGAUGGCGAUCGUUGGACAACAAGUGGAUCAAGCAAUUUCAUAAUAGAUUUCAAAAAGAAUGCGUCUGCAAUUGCCAUAUGUCGUUUUGUUCAUUUGAUAUUUUGUAUGAAGAUAUAUGAGAAUAAAAAAGUGCACCUUACAAAGGUUGAUUGAAAAAUAAAAAACACUGCAUAAGUGGAUUAAUUGUCAAAGAUGAGCAUUUUAAAUUCAUAAAAUUUUGAAAAUUCCGAAAGUAAACAACACCUCAUUGGCACGGAGGAUUUUUAUUUGUUAAAAAUUUCUGCGCUAACUAAAAACACUUCAGCAAUCGCCUAAUGCAGUGCCCUUGCUGGUGCUAUCGACCGACUCCUUGUGGUCCUUAUGGUCCCUUCGGUCCAUGGGGUUAUAUAGGACCAUGCGGAGCCAUAGGUCCUUGCACGCCGUGUGGUGCGCCGUGGGGUUCGUGUCAGCCAUGUGGCAGUUGUUGUUCGCCAUGCGGCUCUUCGUGUUAUGGCCGUAGAUGUUGUUAAACGAGAGUUACCCGAUGCACACACGCACUCAUAACUAGUCGGUGAGAUUAAUGAAAAAGCAAAGCAUCGAUUUGGGCAAUGAAUUGGGUGAAUUGAAAUGGCAAGUGUAUUUCGUUAAGAACAUGUGAAUUGGAAGGUGAAAGGCAUAAAAAUCUAAAAAAAAUAACAAAAAAUAACAAAAAUAUUUUCAUACAAAAUGUUUUUUAAAUUUUUGAGAUUUUGUAAAUAAAGUGUGCAAAAUUCUCAAAAACAUAAA